CGUAGGGUGCAAGCGUUAAUCGGAAUUACUGGGCGUAAAGCGUGCGCAGGCGGUUCGGAAAGAAAGAUGUGAAAUCCCAGAGCUUAACUUUGGAACUGCAUUUUUAACUACCGGGCUAGAGUGUGUCAGAGGGAGGUGGAAUUCCGCGUGUAGCAGUGAAAUGCGUAGAUAUGCGGAGGAACACCGAUGGCGAAGGCAGCCUCCUGGGAUAACACUGACGCUCAUGCACGAAAGCGUGGGGAGCAAACAGGA
rnacentral:rRNA from 1 species